GAUGAACGCUGGCGGCGUGCCUAAUACAUGCAAGUCGAGCGAACGGACGAGAAGCUUGCUUCUCUGAUGUUAGCGGCGGACGGGUGAGUAACACGUGGAUAACCUACCUAUAAGACUGGGAUAACUUCGGGAAACCGGAGCUAAUACCGGAUGAUAUUUUGAACCGCAUGGUUCAAAAGUGAAAGACGGUCUUGCUGUCACUUAUAGAUGGAUCCGCGCUGCAUUAGCUAGUUGGUAAGGUAACGGCUUACCAAGGCAACGAUGCGUAGCCGACCUGAGAGGGUGAUCGGCCACACUGGAACUGAGACACGGUCCAGACUCCUACGGGAGGCAGCAGUAGGGAAUCUUCCGCAAUGGGCGAAAGCCUGACGGAGCAACGCCGCGUGAGUGAUGAAGGUCUUCGGAUCGUAAAACUCUGUUAUUAGGUAAGAACAUAUGUGUAAGUAACUGUGCACAUCUUGACGGUACCUAAUCAGAAAGCCACGGCUAACUACGUG
rnacentral:rRNA from 1 species